AUGAACGCUGGCUGCGUGCCUAAUACCUGCCAGUCGAGCGAACGGACGAGAAGCUUGCUUCUCUGAUGUUAGCGGCGGACGGGUGAGUAACACGUGGAUAACCUACCUAUAAGCCUGGGAUAACUUCGGGAAACCGGAGCUAAUACCGGAUAAUAUUUUGAACCGCAUGGUUCAAAAGUGAAAGACGGUCUUGCUGUCACUUAUAGAUGGAUCCGCGCUGCAUUAGCUAGUUGGUAAGGUAACGGCUUACCAAGGCAACGAUGCAUAGCCGACCUGAGAGGGUGAUCGGCCACACUGGAACUGAGACACGGUCCAGACUCCUACGGGAGGCAGCAGUAGGGAAUCUUCCGCAAUGGGCGAAAGCCUGACGGAGCAACGCCGCGUGAGUGAUGAAGGUCUUCGGAUCGUAAAACUCUGUUAUUAGGGAAGAACAUAUGUGUAAGUAACUGUGCACAUCUUGACGGUACCUAAUCAGAAAGCCACGGCUAACUACGUG
rnacentral:rRNA from 1 species